rnacentral:rRNA from 1 species
UGAGGAAUAUUGGUCAAUGGGCGCGAGCCUGAACCAGCCAAGUAGCGUGAAGGAUGAAGGUCCUAUGGAUUGUAAACUUCUUUUAUACGGGAAUAAAGUGGUCCACGUGUGGGCUUUUGCAUGUACCGUAUGAAUAAGCAUCGGCUAACUCCGUGCCAGCAGCCGCGGUAAUACGGAGGAUGCGAGCGUUAUCCGGAUUUAUUGGGUUUAAAGGGAGCGCAGACGGGGGAUUAAGUCAGUUGUGAAAGUUUGCGGCUCAACCGUAAAAUUGCAGUUGAUACUGGUUCCCUUGAGUGCAGUUGAGGCAGGCGGAAUUCGUGGUGUAGCGGUGAAAUGCAUAGAUAUCACGAAGAACCCCGAUUGCGAAGGCAGCCUGCUAAGCUGUAACUGACGUUGAGGCUCGAAAGUGUGGGUAUCAAACAGGAUUAGAUACCCUGGUAGUCCACACGGUAAACGAUGGAUACUCGCUGUUGGCGAUAUACUGUCAGCGGCCAAGCGAAAGCAUUAAGUAUCCCACCUGGGGAGUACGCCGGCAACGGUGAAACUCAAAGGAAUUGACGGGGGCCCGCACAAGCGGAGGAACAUGUGGUUUAAUUCGAUGAUACGCGAGGAACCUUACCCGGGCUUAAAUUGCAGACGAAUUACUUGGAAACAGGUAAGCCGCAAGGCGUCUGUGAAGGUGCUGCAUGGUUGUCGUCAGCUCGUGCCGUGAGGUGUCGGCUUAAGUGCCAUAACGAGCGCAACCCUCGUGGCCAGUUACUAGCAGGUAACGCUGAGGACUCUGGCCAGACUGCCAUCGUAAGAUGCGAGGAAGGUGGGGAUGACGUCAAAUCAGCACGGCCCUUACGUCCGGGGCUACACACGUGUUACAAUGGGAGGUACAGAAGGCAGCUACCCGGCGACGGGAUGCCAAUCUCCAAAGCCUCUCUCAGUUCGGACUGGAGUCUGCAACCCGACUCCACGAAGCUGGAUUCGCUAGUAAUCGCGCAUCAGCCACGGCGCGGUGAAUACGUUCCC